GAUGAACGCUGGCGGCGUGCCUAAUACAUGCAAGUCGAGCGAACAGACGAGGAGCUUGCUCCUCUGACGUUAGCGGCGGACGGGUGAGUAACACGUGGAUAACCUACCUAUAAGACUGGGAUAACUUCGGGAAACCGGAGCUAAUACCGGAUAAUCUAUUGAACCGCAUGGUUCAAUAGUGAAAGACGGUUUUGCUGUCACUUAUAGAUGGAUCCGCGCCGCAUUAGCUAGUUGGUAAGGUAACGGCUUACCAAGGCAACGAUGCGUAGCCGACCUGAGAGAGUGAUCGGCCACACUGGAACUGAGACACGGUCCAGACUCCUACGGGAGGCAGCAGUAGGGAAUCUUCCGCAAUGGGCGAAAGCUUGACGGAGCAACGCCGCGUGAGUGAUGAAGGUCUUCGGAUCGUAAAACUCUGUUAUUAGGGAAGAACAAAUGUGUAAGUAACUAUGCACGUCUUGACGGUACCUAAUCAGAAAGCCACGGCUAACUACGUG
rnacentral:rRNA from 1 species